AGUGGACGCAUCACUGGUGUUCGGGUUGUCAUGCCAAUGGCAUUGCCCGGUAGCUAAAUGCGGAAGAGAUAAGUGCUGAAAGCAUCUAAGCACGAAACUUGCCCCGAGAUGAGUUCUCCCUGAGACUUUAAGUCUCCUGAAGGAACGUUAAAGACGAUGACGUUGAUAGGCCGGGUGUGUAAGCGCAGCGAUGCGUUGAGCUAACCGGUACUAAUGAACCGUGAGGCUUAACCUUACAACGCCGAAGGUGUUU
rnacentral:rRNA from 1 species